ensembl:lncRNA
AGGGACAUCGAGGGGAAACAACACAGACGAACCAGCAACUAACAGAGGCAGACACGAGGUUUAAAUACACAGAAGGAUAACGAGGGAAUGAGACACAAAAGGAGGGCACAGCUGGGAGUAAUCAGACCUGACGAGACAGGGGAAUAGUAAACUGAACACACUGAGAUAAGACAGAGACUUUUAAAGUAAAACAGGAAACACAUGCACGUAAUGACACCGACUCAAAACGCAGACUAAACACAGGGAUACACUGGUAGGAAAGAAUGAACACUAACCGAGGAAGAACAGAACCAAAAUUACAAUAAUAGAAAACACAAAACGCUGGGUCAAAAGGACCCAGGAUCAUGACAGUACCCCCCCCUCAAGGGCUGGCCCCAGACAGCCCAAAACAAGAAAACCAAGAAACCCCCAAAAACAGAAAACAACCCGACCAGGGCGGGCGGUGGGGGCCCAGGAAGGAGGGCCCGAAGCCAAAACAAAAGAGGAGCACCAGAAAACACAACACGAGCCCAAAACCAAAAGAAGACAAAAAGGAAACACACCAGAGCACGGGAAAACAGGCCAAAACAGAACACCACAGGGGCUGGCCGUGAGGAUGGCGACGUGGACACAGUUCAGGGGGACGGCCAGGGGGCCGACAGCACCGGAGCCCAAACAGUUCAGGGGGCCGGCCGUGCGGACGGCAGCGGCGCCGACGCGGGCACAGUUCAGGGGGCCGGCCAUGAGGACGGCAGCGGCGCCGACGCGGGCACAGUUCAGGGGGCCGGCCGUGAGGACGGCAGCGGCGCCGACGCGGGCACAGUUCAGGGGGCCGGCCGUGAGGGAGGCAAUGGCGGCGACUCAGGCGAAGGCGGUCCGGGGGCCGCCCACGACGGCGAUGGCGCCUGGCCAGUGGCCUGGAAAGUGGCCAGUCGGCUGCAGACCCCGACGGGGUAGGACCAGGCGGCUGCAGACCCCGACGGGGUAGGACCAGGCAACGCCGAAGACUCGGAGGCUGGACCAGGCGACGCCGAAGACUCGGAGGCUGGACCAGGCGACGCCGAAGACUCGGAGGCUGGACCAGGCGAGGCUGAUGAGGCCGCAGGUGACGGCGUGGAAGCCGGAGACGAAGAGGCCGCAGGUGACGGCGUGGAAGCCGGAGACGAAGAGGCCGCAGGUGACGGCGUGGAAGCCGGAGACGAAGGCACUGCAGCUGGCGGCGUAGAUGGUGAGGCUGCCGCUGGCGUGGAUGGUGAAGCUGCAGCUGGCGGCGGCGUGGAAGCCGGAGGCGGUGGCGCUGCAGCUGGCGUGAAUGAAGAGGCUGCAGCUGGCGUGAAUGAAGAGGCCGCAGCUGGCGUGGAAGCCGGAGACGGAGGCGCUGCAGCUGGCGGCGGCGUGGACGCCGGAGACGGAGGCGCUGCAGCUGGCGGCGGCGUGGACGCCGGAGACGGAGGUGCUGCAGGCUGGACGGAUCCCUUGGACCCUCCAGCGACGACAGGAAGCAAAGGCCGGACGGAUCCCUUGGACCCUCCAGCGACGACAGGAAGCAAAGGCCGGAGCGGUCCUUCGGACCCUCCAGCGGAGACACGAGGCAAAGGCCGGAGCGGUCCUUCGGACCCUCCAGCGGAGACACGAGGCAAAGAGUCCACUAGCCGACAUAAAGACAGCUGGCAAUGCACUGAGCACUGGCUUUGCCCAGGCAACACUAACACGGAGGAGUUCUCUGAGGGCUGCUUAAUCCUCAGGGGUCCAGUAAUAGGUGGGGGGUGAAACCUAGCUUCUGGGGAGGCCCUGGAGUGCAUUACUUCGCUUGAAGCAGCUAAAGCGCAGGAAUCUCCCUGGGAGGAACUUAGACCUUCUCCCUGCAUGAAGUGAGUGUGUGAGACUGGUGGUCAAAGGAGUUUGCAAAGAAAAGCGUCUGGACUUCUUUGAGUUGCUUGAAGACGUUUCACC